GUCUGGGUAGUUCAACGGAUAGAAUAGAGGUUUCCUAAACCUUAGAUCUGGGUUCGAUUCCCAGCCUGGAUA
rnacentral:tRNA from 1 species